GGUUUAUGUUACCCCUUGUUUUCCUCUCCAAAGCCAGUGGGAAAAAAAAAAAUGAUUUAACUCCCAUAGUCUACAACACGGGCGCUAACAGCAUUCAGAACGCGCAGACCCAUCCAGGUGUGGGCGACGCACCUGGAAAAUGCGAUGGACUGUACCACUGA
rnacentral:lncRNA from 1 species